UAGUCCACACCGUAAACGAUGAGAGCUAGUUGUCUGCAAGCAUGCUUGUAGGUGAUAAGUGACCCACCUGGGGAGUACGUUCGCAAGAAUGAAACUCAAAGGAAUUGACGGGGGCCCGCACAAGCGGUGGAGCAUGUGGUUUAAUUCGAUGAUACGCGAGGAACCUUACCAGGGCUUAAAUGUAGAUUGCAUAGCUUAGAGAUAGGCUUUUCUUCGGACUAUUUACAAGGCGCUGCAUGGUUGUCGCCAGCUCGUGCCGUGAGGUGUCGGGUUAAGUCCCAUAACGAGCGCAACCCCUAUCCUUAGUUGCCAGCGGGUCAUGCCGGGGACUCUGAGGAGACUGCCACCGUAAGGUGUGAGGAAGGUGGGGAUGACGUCAAAUCAGCACGGCCCUUAUGUCCAGGGCUACACACGUGUUACAAUGGACGGUACAAAGGGCAGCUACCUGGCGACAGGAUGCUAAUCUCUAAAGCCGUUCUCAGUUCGGAUCGAAGU
rnacentral:rRNA from 1 species